UACGUAGGGUGCAAGCGUUGUCCGGAAUUAUUGGGCGUAAAGAGCUCGUAGGCGGUUUGUCGCGUCUGCUGUGAAAACCCGAGGCUCAACCUCGGGCCUGCAGUGGGUACGGGCAGACUAGAGUGCGGUAGGGGAGAUUGGAAUUCCUGGUGUAGCGGUGGAAUGCGCAGAUAUCAGGAGGAACACCGGUGGCGAAGGCGGGUCUCUGGGCCAUUACUGACGCUGAGGAGCGAAAGCGUGGGGAGCGAACAGG
rnacentral:rRNA from 1 species